CACAGCGCACGCUUGCUCGGUCACGCGCGGAGUCUCACAGUCAAAACUUAAAAGGGAAGAAUCGGAGAGAAGAAAAGAUAUUUGUUACGCAAGGUCCAUAGUGUGCCGAUUGGCGAAAGACUUGCUUAGCAGCUGACGCAUUUCAGAGUUAAACGAAGAUUUUAUUUCAGAGUAUUUCACAAGGCGAUGGUUGUUCUGUCUGCAGACAAUGGAGAUUAAUGGUAGCAAACCUCAUUCGGAUGAAAAUAAUCCUUCGGGAGGUUCAAAUAACGACAUCAAAGACAAUUCUGCCGAGAAAAAUAUCAAUAUCUUUGUUAACCAUGCUGAAAUUUCUUGGCACGAGAGACGAAACCAUUGGGUUGGAGAUGAGUCCAAGAAAUCACGAAAAGCACCUAGGGAGCCAAUUAUGAGCUGGACGACAACUUAUGAAGAGCUGCUUUCUUCUAAUGAACCUUUCCAUCAGCGAAUACCAUUAGCUGAGAUGGUGGAUUUUUUAGUUGACAUAUGGCACGAAGAAGGCCUCUAUGACUAGAUGACUGGGAAAUUUGUUGUGGUGGUUGCAAGUUAUUAUUUUGGCAGAUCGAUGGAGAUGAAGUCAAAUCCAUAGAGUUGUCAAUGUUGAGGGGGAGGAGGCGUCCAUUGUUCCAGCAGGUACUAUCACUGAUAAUUCCUGGCAUGUUUGGAAGGUUGUCAAUCUAAGACGACCUAACGACUAGAAUGGCUGAAGUGAGCUGGUCAUGAGAAUUGUGGGUGAGAGCCAUAAGGUUCCACCAUUUUUAAGGAGAGAUCCUGUCCCUUGGGUUGGGCUUUUGCCUGAUUUGGCCCCUACUUUUCUUUCUGAGAUAAUAGAAGAACCCUCUUCCCCCUUUUUCUUGUCAUGAACUCAAUUGUUAUUAGAUUCACCCUUUGUGUAAUGUUUGGUCAUGCAUCCUGUCCACAUUGAUGAUUGAUCUUCCUUUACAAAGAAAAGUCUAAAUAGAGAAAUGGCUGCUGGUCAAAGUCAUUGGAGUGUCUUCUGGGAUAUACUCUCUUCUCUGCGACCAUUU